ACACUGACCCUACAACUUUCUACAACUAAUUUUUGUGGUUUUGUACAUUUAUGGUGGUAAGCUCCAUCGUGGUUAAUACGUCAAUCAAGUAUUAUCCUCGAUUUUGCUAAGCAUCAAACGAUAUUAUCUUCAAAUUUAAUCCCGGUAUUAACUUUAGUGCGCCGAUUUCGGCGUACUAAAGAUAAUCCGAGAUUAACAAAAAUUUGGCUACGUGCUUGAUUUUGAUCCUACGCACACUAGUGUAUCCAUGAAACGUCAAAGGCGAAAAGCAAAACAAAACAAAACAGAGGAAGUUUUUAUUAUUUGCUCCGGUGCUGUUCUCCGUUGUUGCUACUAUUUCUCCGUUAAAAGAUGGAUCUCGAAGCACGAACAAUAUCAGCUGCGGCUUAGAGUUUCCCAGCCACAAAGGCCCCGGCCUUCACAAUAAGAAAGUCCCGCUGUGCCUGAACCGAAACUGAAGGUAACCAAAGUGAUGACGAUCACCCUCCGGCAGCUUGCACAGGCAUUGCCAUCUACUGGCCGUCAAGCUGAUCCGUCAACGACAGAGGCUGCCAAGAAGUACCUGCGCAUGGGCCACGAUGUGGUCGAGAAGACCAGCAACAUACACAUUCUGGCCAAGCCGAGAUUUUCUUUUUUAAUGCGUAUUCGUGGUAUCAAAGAAGUUGUCUCCAAAGGUCAACAUUGUUGCUGUUUUUCGACUGCGCCAGAUCCCGACCCGUACAUCACCUACGGAUACCCGAGGCUGGAAUCGGUCCGCCACCUGAUCUACAAGCGCGGAUUCGUGAAGCAGCCGCAUUCCGAUCACCGACAACUUUGUGCUCGAGUGUAAAUUGCAUCCCGACUACAAGAUGCAAUGCGUCGUGGAUCUGGUGUACCAGACCUACACUUCCGGGUCCCCAUUCCGCAAGGGCAACAACUUCCUAUGGUCGUUCGAGCUCAACACCCCAAGCGAGGAAUGGCGCAAAAGUUGAUACCAUUAGAUGGACAAAGUUGAGAGAGA